GUGUUCACGCUCAUCUUCUCUGCUGUACCGUUGCUUUUCUCGCGCAAAAAGAAAAAAAAAAAAAAAAGACGUGUGGUUGCUACACGGGCUCCAUCCUUAGCUCCUACCACCCACUUCCUACUACCAAGCGACGUUUAACCCUUCGGCGACCAGAAGCUUGAGCUGCAAGCUCUGUCAGCCCUGAGAGUAGGCUGUCAUACACAAGCUAAUGGCAGUCUGAGGAGGUUACCAGGUGGCAGAAACUGAGACAGUUGAGGUGCUGUGAGAUUUGGCGAGUGGGAGGGGAGGAGGCAGCGGCGAAGAGAGAAGCCUUACGAGGCGCGGUGUUAACACACAAAGACUUUUCUUCCUAUUGCUCCGUGCAAAAAAACAAAACAGAAAAAGCUCUCAAAAAUGAUGUCACCCUUUUUCAGAGGAUGCCCUGAGGGGGGUCACAUGGGGUCAGCUCUCGGCAGCCAAAAACUUGGCAGGGCUGGGAUUUGGAAUACGCCUGCCGCUUGUGCGAUCCCAUUUCCCGUCCUAGUAAGCCGGUCUCACAAGAGCCACGUCAGCUCACAUCUCUUCA